rnacentral:misc_RNA from 1 species
AAGUCGUAACAAGGUCUCCGUUGGUGAACCAGCGGAGGGAUCAUUACCGAGUUGAUUCGGGCUCCGUCCCGAUCCUCCCACCCUUUGUAUACCUACCUCUGUUGCUUUGGCGGGCCGCCUUCGGGCACCGGCUUCGGCUGGGUUGCGCCUGCCAGAGGACCCCAAACUCUGAAUGUUAGUGUCGUCUGAGUACUAUAUAAUAGUUAAAACUUUCAACAACGGAUCUCUUGGUUCUG